UGGGGAAUAUUGGACAAUGGGCGAAAGCCUGAUCCAGCCAUGCCGCGUGAGUGAUGAAGGCCCUCGGGUCGUAAAGCUCUGUGGAGAGGGAAGAAUCCUUGCAGCAUCAGAUCCUGCAAGUUGACGGUACCUCUUUAGCAAGCACCGGCUAACUCCGUGCCAGCAGCCGCGGUAAUACGGAGGGUGCAAACGUUGCUCGGAAUCAUUGGGCGUAAAGCGCACGUAGGCGGACUACUAAGUCGGACGUGAAAUCCCUCAGCUUAACUGAGGAAGUGCAUUCGAAACUAGUAGUCUUGAGUACGGGAGAGGGUCGCGGAAUUCCCGGUGUAGAGGUGAAAUUCGUAGAUAUCGGGAGGAACACCAGUGGCGAAGGCGGCGGCCUGGACCGAUACUGACGCUGAGGUGCGAAAGCGUGGGGAGCAAACAGG
rnacentral:rRNA from 1 species